rnacentral:lncRNA from 1 species
UCUUUUUUUUUUUUUUCUUUUCAUUUUUAUAAACUAUAGAACUGCUUGUGAAGUGAUUGGCUAUUCAAAUGGUCCGUCACGGUUUCCAAAUGGGCCGAAACGUGAAGUGACUUUUUUUUUUUCAGAUACAUGACAUUUUAUGAACAGUAGGGCUCAGAAGUAAUUUGAGAAUACUUUUUUUUUAAGGGAUUGGUGUGUGGUAUUGUUUCUAGGUCCCUUUCAUACAUUAGUGAGAUUCUUUCCAUGGGUCCAAUUUGUAAGUAAGCCAUAUUGCCAAAAAGGAGGAAGAGGGGUAGGUGGUGACUCUGUUGACCAGACUUUAGAGAGAUGGAGAUGGAUCGGUAGCUAAGAGUACCUAUUGUUCUUGUAGAAGGCUCAGUUCACCAGCACACUCAGCUCCAGGGCCUGACACCUUUAGCCUCUCUGAGCACCUGCACUCACAUGUACCGCACUGCACACAGACACACACAUACAAGUGAUUAAAAAUAACACGUUCAUGCCAGAUGGGGUGACACACACCUUAAAUCCCAGUCCUCAGGAGGCUCAGUUCCCAGUGAGCUUGGUCUGCACAGGCAAUUCCAGGUCAUCCAGCCAUCCAGGGCUAUCCAGAGAGACCUUGUCUUUAAAAGAAUGAAGCGUGCUUUGUUUUCAUUUUCUUGGCUUUCAAAUCUUGGCACUAAACAAAAAAACUACAUCCUGGACUGAGGCAGGCUAAUCUCUGUGAGGUGAAGGACAGCCUGGUCUAUGUAAGAAGUUCUAGGCUGGCCAUAGCUACAUUGUGAGACCCCGUCUCACAAAAAUAAAUAAAUAAAUAAAUAAAUAAAUAAAUAAAUAAAAAUUUUAAAGAUACCUUUUCCCCCUUGGCUGCAAGGGAAAUGUGUUGCAGUGGACUAUCUCCGUCAGCUCUCCAGAUGUCUGGCCUCCCUCCCUGGCCUUCUAGAGAACUCCUUGUGCUUGGGUAAUCCUUGUAAUGUGUGAUACAUUAUCUGAAAUACAAAGCAUAACAAAAUGCCUGUGUUUGCAGAUUAUGUUAAGAGCAGGACCUCAGUCCCUUUACUCAGGGACUUUAGUUGCAAAAGUACUAAAGUCAAAAGUGCCUUUGACUCUGGCCACUAUGAAAUGUGUGUCCCAGCUCAGGGCCAAAAUGCUUCUCUGCUCCCCAGCUGUCCUUGAUUGCCCUUCUUCUGAGGUCCUUGGUCAUAGCUAAACAGAGACAGUCUUUAAUCCCCUUGGGUUUCACCGCCUCUUUUUGUUCUAUGUGAGAGUCACUUUGGGCCUUCCGGGCCCUUAGAAACACCCCUCUCGGUCCUGGCCUUUUGAAUCUGUCCAUUUGGCUAGUCUACCUGACAGCUGGCUGGUUCCUUUGCGGAAGCUGGGUGUAUACAUGGUAGCUUCCUACUCUGGACAGCUCCUGAUCACGUGGUCUUUCAGAGGGUAACACCAGACCAGGAUAAUCCCUGCCAGUCCAGCUGCCCCCAGUACCUUAGCUUUUCUUCAGCAUGGUCCCCACUGGCCCACCCAUCAUAUUCCCUUAAUGUAGUUCUUAUAUCCCACGUAGUGAGUGGUGAGUGUCUGAGCUUGCACUCCAUGGUGGGUGAACUCUUGUUACCCAUCCAGCUCCCUCCCCUCCAUCCAGGGGACUUCCGGUGCAGGAUGUUGCCUGAAGCCCGAGUCAAGUUUUGUUUCUCUGACAAAUAUACAGGAAGAGGAACCAACAUAAUUUCGCCCAACAUAAGAAUAAAGUAGAUCCGUUUCCUGGUUAGUCUUACUGCUAUCUGUGGAAUCAGCGCCACAAAUGUCUUCUUUGUUUAGAUUAGUUGAUCACUGGGGAAGGGCGCUGGGGAGGAGGGUGGAAUGCCUGCUACCCACAGUCACUAACUUCAGAGACAUGCUCCUGCCUGGCCCCUGUAAGCCAAAUGCACCCACUGUCCCUGCCUGCUUUGGGUUUUUAUUUAUGAGAAGAUCUAGAGACUUAGGUAAAAUCAAUAAUAGAAUAGAAGGUGGUGAUAAACUCCCAGGCUAGAGUAAUAGUAACCAAGAUGCAAUUACUGUCUGCUUUCUGUGAUAAGAAAAGAUGAAAUAUAUAAGUGAUAGAAGCUCAUUAUCUUUCUGCCCCACGUUGAAAAGGAGUGUUUGGAAUGUCACAAAAGAAUUAAAAUAAUCGGGACUUAUUUAUU